UACGGAGGGUGCAAGCGUUAAUCGGAAUUACUGGGCGUAAAGCGAACGCAGGCGGUUUGGCAAGUCGGAUGUGAAAUCCCCGGGCUCAACCUGGGAACUGCAUCCGAGACUGGGAGGCUAGAGUGUUGUAGAGGGGGGCAGAAUUCCAGGUGUAGCGGUGAAAUGCGUAGAGAUCUGGAGGAAUACCGGUGGCGAAGGCGGCCCCCUGGACAAAGACCGACGCUCAGGUGCGAAAGCGUGGGGAGCAAACAGG
rnacentral:misc_RNA from 1 species